CAGCCGCCGCGGGAAUACCGAGGAUGCAAGCGUUAUCCGGAAUUACUGGGCGUAAAGCGUGCGCAGGCGGUUUUGUAAGACAGGCGUGAAAUCCCCGGGCUCAACCUGGGAAUGGCGCUUGUGACUGCAAAGCUAGAGUGCGGCAGAGGGGGAUGGAAUUCCGCGUGUAGCAGUGAAAUGCGUAGAUAUGCGGAGGAACACCGAUGGCGAAGGCAAUCCCCUGGGCCUGCACUGACGCUCAUGCAUGAAAGCGUGGGGAGCAAACAGGAUUAGAUACCCGCGUAGUCCCUGUCUCUUAUAC
rnacentral:rRNA from 1 species